rnacentral:rRNA from 1 species
GACGAACCGUGCAACCGUUAUUCGGAAUCACUGGGCUUAAAGGGCGCGUAGGCGGGCAACCAAGUCCGAGGUGAAAUCCUCCAGCUUAACUGGAGAAGUGCCCCGGGUACUGGUGGCCUCGAGGAGGGUAGGGGCAUCUGGAACUAGCGGUGGAGCGGUGAAAUGCGUUGAUAUCGCUAGGAACUCCGGUGGCGAAGGCGAGGUGCUGGACCCUUUCUGACGCUGAGGCGCGAAAGCCAGGGGAGCGAACGGG